rnacentral:rRNA from 1 species
GACGAACGCUGGCGGCGUGCUUAACACAUGCAAGUCGAACGGAAAGGCCCUGCUUUUGUGGGGUGCUCGAGUGGCGAACGGGUGAGUAACACGUGAGUAACCUGCCCUUGACUUUGGGAUAACUUCAGGAAACUGGGGCUAAUACCGGAUAGGAGCUCCUGCUGCAUGGUGGGGGUUGGAAAGUUUCGGCGGUUGGGGAUGGACUCGCGGCUUAUCAGCUUGUUGGUGGGGUAGUGGCUUACCAAGGCUUUGACGGGUAGCAGGCCUGAGAGGGUGACCGGCCACAUUGGUACUGAGAUACGGCCCAGACUCCUACGGGAGGCAGCAGUGGGGAAUAUUGCACAAUGGGCGGAAGCCUGAUGCAGCAACGCCGCGUGCGGGAUGACGGCCUUCGGGUUGUAAACCGCUUUCGCCUGUGACGAAGCGUGAGUGACGGUAAUGGGUAAAGAAGCACCGGCUAACUACGUG